CACGAAACAUGUCAAAAAUGUUGACAGCCAAAAACUCUAGGCCUUAACAAACUAUACGAACAAGUAGCUUAUGAAGUUUGAUCGAAUGCCAAGAAAAAACAUAUUGCCAAAAGUUUCUCAAAAAAAAUAAAAAAAAAAAACGGUACACUCGAAAUUCAGCUGAAUCAAACCGAAACGACAUCAACAGAGUUGACCUCGUUUCUCGAGCUUUUUUUGAUUUUUUGCUCAGCUGCCGUUUUCCAGUCAACUUUUUAUAAUGCUAUCGAGGAAUCUGUGCAUUGCCAUAAAAACAUUAAAUCAUAAAAUCAUUUACAUCCUCAAACCAAUUAACAAUGAAAACAAGUAAGAAUACAAUGUGGAAAUAAACUUUGAGCAGUGCGACGACUAUUGAAAUUCCCUUGAGGAGGAAACGGGAAGAAGAUAGGACCUUGCGAAUUUAUUUAAUUUACAAAAUAUAAAUAUUUAUUUCUA